AUGAACGCUGGCGGCGUGCCUAAUACAUGCAAGUCGAACGAGGUGCUUUUGUAGCAAUACGGAAGUAUCCUAGUGGCGAGCGGGUGAGUAACGCGUUGGUGACCUACCCCAAAGUGUGGGAUAACAGUUCGAAAGAACUGCUAAUACCGCAUGUGGUUAUUGGAUUUAGAAACCGAUAACUAAAGGAGCAAUUCGCUUUGGGAGGGACCUGCGUCCCAUCAGCUAGUUGGUAGGGUAACGGCCUACCAAGGCAAAGACGGGUAGGGGAACUGAGAGGGUGACCCCCCACACUGGAACUGAAACACGGUCCAGACACCUACGGGUGGCAGCAGUAGGGAAUAUUGCACAAUGGACGAAAGUCUGAUGCAGCAACGCCGCGUGUGCGAUGAAGGCCUUCGGGUUGUAAGGCACUUGUAUGAGGGAAGAGCAAGGACUGUACCUCAUGAAUAAGGAUCGGCUAACUACGU
rnacentral:rRNA from 1 species